CNGGAGGAAUGACUAGAUAGGAUUUAAGGA
rnacentral:piRNA from 1 species